GGCUUCUGAAUCUGUUUUCAGCACCAGUGGUAGAGUUGUAGAUAAAUUUCGUUCUUCAAUGCUUCCAGAAACAAUUGAAGCUCUGAUAUGCACACAAGAUUGGAUAAGAAGUGCGCUGAAGAAUGAGGGAUUUGGGUUAGGUAGUACUUCACUUCAGACUCUUUUGGAGGCAAUGGAGGAGCUCGAGUCAGACGAUGAUGAUGCAACAUCGCACAUUGUCUAACUGACUGACUAUCAAUUUAAGGAACAAUUGGAAAUAUGAUGGUGAAAUCUUUAGUGAACUGGUUGGAACUUCUUUUUGGUAUAUAUAUAUUAUAUAGGCAUAGCCAAAGAACAUGCGAAGUGCGAACUACAUCCUUCUUUUUUGUAUAUGUACUUGUGAAGGAAACGCAUUUAUCUUUUGGGGCUUCUACACUUUAUAGAAUGAUAUGUCUGUCAACUUUUGUGGUUAUAAUACGACAGACUAUAUUAGCCAUUAGGGCUGGCGUUACUUGUAGUUAUCGGCUAAAAAAAUGUCUGCCAACUUUUGUAUUUAAUAUUUAUCAUAUAUAAUGGCAGAUUCUUACUUAUAGCUAGGAAAGUAACUUUGAUUUUCCUAAUCUAAGGAUUCUAAGC